CCGACGGCGAAGGGGCGCAGCUCGGGGACCCGCUCCCGCCCCGCCGCCCCCUCCCGGCUCAGCGCCCCCCCAGCCGCCCCGCCCCGGGUGCCCCCCUCGGCCGCCCCCGCAGCCCCUCCCGAGGCCGCGUCUCCCCCGCGGGGUGACUGGGAAGGGAUCUGCCGGCGCGGGAAAGAGGGCAGAGAAGGGUGAAGUCAUCAGGGCUGCGGGAGGCCGCGUGGGGCACGGGGGGAGCUUCGGCUUCUGUGGAAACGGCCGGAGAACGGGAGUCCAGGGGGCGGCUGAGGAGAAACGUUCCCCGGAGAGGCGGCUCCGAGGGCGUCGCCGGGGGCCGAGCGCGGCUGCCGCUUCCGGGGCGCACACGGGGCGAAGGGCGGCGCGGAGCGGAGGCCUCGCGGGCCCGGGGCGGCGACCCCCGGGGGAGGGAGAGGGGCGCGCUCGGCACCCCCACAUCCGAGGGAGGAGCGGCCUCGGCGGGGCCCGUCUCGCCCUCGCCCUCCGCAGCCCGGAGCCGCGCAGUUGGCGGGUGGGUCAUGGGGGAGACCCCGACCCCGCCUCUCAGCGCCCAGCCCUGCCCCCCCCGCGCCAGUCCCGGCCCCUCCCCUCCCCUCCCCCACCCCAAGCCCAGAGCUUCUGGGACCCCAGGACGGCUCAGCCCCGCGCACCGCCCUCCCCGCGGCUCCUCCAUGGGCCCCCGCCCCUGCCACGUCACAAACCCCUUCCAGCCCCCCGGGGCGACCCCCCCCCAGAUCCCCGAGCAACUCUGAGAUGCGGCCUCGGGAAGGAGAGACCAGGUGCGGUCGGACCCGCGACGCCGACGAUGCCGAUGGUGUUUCCCGCUCGUUGAACUCCGGGGACGCGCGGAGUCGGCGCCUCGUUCUCUCCCUUCAGCUCCUGAGCACGGGACCGCCCUGGGGAGGGUGAAUGGCCGAGAACCGCGUGGGUUCAAACCCCAGUUCCUCCUUUCCCGCGCGGAGUGACUUCCGGCUGCACCGGGAACUCUCCUGGGGCUCUGCUCACCGUUUAUGAAAUGGGGACAUCGCAGUGCAGGCUCCUGGGAGGGCAGAAUCGGAUCAUGCGCUCCCUCGGGUCGGUCCCGGCUUCCGCUUGAGUGUCUUGGUAACUGUACUUUGACUUCAGUGGAAACGGGACACUGAAACCAUAAGAGACCUGAGAAAUGAAGUCUUGCAAGACUCGAGGCCAGUCCAAGUUGAACCAGAGUGGGCAGAAGACGUCUUCAGUUGGAAGCUAGGAGCCUAAAGAGGGAGGUGUGAACAGAGAGGACUGUGAAAGCUUCCAGGAGCAGAGGAGGGACCUGGGUCCUGUGUGCUGUCAUCAUCACUGUGGUCCUCUGUGAGGUCAGAGCAGACAGCUCUGCCAGCAGUGCCUCGAGCUG